rnacentral:rRNA from 1 species
CACGUAGGGGGCGAGCGUUGUCCGGAUUCAUUGGGCGUAAAGGGCGCGCAGGCGGCCCGGAAAGUCGGAUGUGAAAACUCGAGGCUCAACCUCGAGCGUGCACCCGAUACUGCCGGGCUUGAGGCAGGUAGGGGAGAUCGGAAUUCCUGGUGUAGCGGUGAAAUGCGCAGAUAUCAGGAGGAACACCAGCGGCGAAGGCGGUGCUCUGGGCCGGAACUGACGCUGAGGAGCGAAAUCGUGGUUAGCUAACAGC